rnacentral:pre_miRNA from 1 species
AGUGGAGGAUUCCAAAGGGAUCGCAUUGAUCGAUCUCUCCGUGCAAGGUCGAUGGAUCAGUGCAAUCCCUCUGGAAUUCUCCGC